rfam:Triticum urartu cultivar G1812 contig915930, whole genome shotgun sequence.
AAAAUACUUCCUCGUCCCAAAAUUCUUGUUUUAGAUUUGUUUAAAUAUAAAUGUAUCUAGUCAUGGUUUAAUGUUAGAUACAUCCGUAUCUAGACGAAUGUUAGACAAGAAUUUUGGGACAGAGAUGGUAGAAG